rnacentral:rRNA from 1 species
CCUGGCUCAGGACGAACGCUGGCGGCGUGCUUAACACAUGCAAGUCGAACGGUAAGGCCCUUCGGGGUACACGAGUGGCGAACGGGUGAGUAACACGUGGGUGAUCUGCCCUGCACUUCGGGAUAAGCCCGGGAAACUGGGUCUAAUACCGGAUAGUACUGCGCGGUGCAUGCCGUGUGGUGGAAAGAUUUAUCGGUGCAGGAUGGGCCCGCGGCCUAUCAGCUUGUUGGUGGGGUAAUGGCCUACCAAGGCGACGACGGGUAGCCGGCCUGAGAGGGCGACCGGCCACACUGGGACUGAGACACGGCCCAGACUCCUACGGGAGGCAGCAGUGGGGAAUAUUGCACAAUGGGCGCAAGCCUGAUGCAGCGACGCCGCGUGAGGGAUGACGGCCUUCGGGUUGUAAACCUCUUUCAGCAGGGACGAAGCGCAAGU